GACGGAGGGUGCCAGCGUUAUUCGGAUUUAUUGGGCGUAAAGCGCGUGUAGGCGGCCGGCCAAGUCUGAUGUGAAAGCCCGGGGCUUAACCUCGGAAGGGCGUUGGAAACUGGUUGGCUUGAGUUCGGGAGAGGAAAGCGGAAUUCCGGGUGUAGAGGUGAAAUUCGUAGAUAUCCGGAGGAACACCGGUGGCGAAGGCGGCUUUCUGGACCGAAACUGACGCUGAGACGCGAAAGCGUGGGGAGCAAACAGG
rnacentral:rRNA from 1 species